rnacentral:rRNA from 1 species
GACGGAGGAUGCAAGUGUUAUCCGGAAUCACUGGGCGUAAAGCGUCUGUAGGUGGUCAAAUAAGUCAACUGUUAAAUCUUGAGGCUUAACCUCAAAAUCGCAGUCGAAACUAUUAGACUAGAGUAUAGUAGGGGUAAAGGGAAUUUCCAGUGGAGCGGUGAAAUGCGUAGAGAUUGGAAAGAACACCAAUGGCGAAGGCACUUUACUGGGCUAUUACUAACACUCAGAGACGAAAGCUAGGGUAGCAAAUGGG